UCUUGUGGAUCUUUAGCCAGACAUGGGGCUGACUUAAUAUGAGAUAAUAUGACAAAUAUUAAUAUGCAAAAAUUUUAGCUAUGGACCUGCAUGAAGAUGGGUGGCAAAGUAUAUCACCAUUUGAAGGGGCAGUUAGAGGGCGAUAUAGGCAGAUGUGGGGCUGUAUCAUAUUAGUGAUUGAAGCCUGUUACUGAUAUUUAAAACCUUAUUUUAGGGUCAGCUAGAACUCAACCCCAAGAAUCAGGACCGUCUAUACCAUGAGUUCAAAGAAGUUUGUGGGCUGCAAAAGAUCACAGAGGAACAUCUGUCACAAUUGCAUUGGACUGCAAUAGAGAUUCUUCCAUUUCCUAUAUCGAAAUUUAUCUUAAACAAAGUAAUUCAGCUGCCACCCCACAUUGAAUUACUAGUUGCAGCGAUCACACAAAUCAAAGAACCUGACAGCAUAUUUGGGAUCAUCCAAUCACACAAGGUGAAUUGUUUUAUCAUAGUUGCAUGAAUUUUGUUUUGGUUUUGUACUGCUACCCCACAUUAUUUCUUCAAAAUGUUAGCAAGUAUGAACAGCUAGGAGGCAGGAGCAGGAGCAAAAAUCAAAACGCAAUUCAAAGUGACAGUGGCACCUGGGUAGAAAAUUUUGCAGCCGAGGUUGUGCAGUUCUUAUGCUGUUGUAUGCAUUCAGAUGUGUGGGCGUUGUCCCUUGGAAACAACUACACAGCUCACCAAAGAUCGACAGAAGAAACGAGUCCCUUGGAAACAAUGGCAAUCAUUGGCAACAAGGAGAUCAUUGACAUUAACCAAGGUAUGUUAGUUGCUUAGACUGGUGUUUAAAAAAAAAAAAAAAAAACUAGGAUGCA